rfam:Fusarium oxysporum f. sp. cubense tropical race 4 54006 unplaced genomic scaffold supercont1.7, whole genome shotgun sequence.
GCCCCCAUGGUGUAGUGGUUUAUCACGCAGCUCUUAUAUGUCCAAGACUUCAUGGAGGUAUGCUGAGGUCGCGAGUUCAAUCCUCGCUGGGGGCA